CAUGGAUGGAUAUAAACAAACGAACAACAAAAAUCCCCAGCCAAGGCCAACUUGUUUGGUGAAUUAAAAAACUCCUCAGGCUGAACCUGGAAGUUUCAAUUUCCCCUGGCAUCUUCAAAAAAUUUUAGUUUCAAGCCCUUGGGCAUUGAGCGUGGUACUGGUAAUGUUAGGGUUUUUAUCUGCCCGCCCCAUAAACCGCUCAAUUGUUGAUGGAAUAAACCAGCGAUGAUAUAUUGAGGAUCUUUGGAAUCCCUAGAUUCAAGCUUGACAUUCUUAGUUCUUAUAUAAUCCUUUUGUCUUGCUUUAAAAAUUAAAAAUUAAAAUAUAACUAAAAUAACGAUGAAUAAACGGGUCAAGAGAUAAAUGCGUAA
rnacentral:sRNA from 1 species